rnacentral:rRNA from 1 species
UACGUAGGGUGCAAGCGUUAAUCGGAAUUACUGGGCGUAAAGCGUGCGCAGGCGGUUCUAUAAGACAGAUGUGAAAUCCCCGGGCUCAACCUGGGAACUGCAUUUGUGACUGUAGAGCUGGAGUACGGCAGAGGGGGGAUGGAAUUCCGCGUGUAGCAGUGAAAUGCGUAGAUAUCGGGAGGAACACCUGUGGCGAAAGCGGCUCACUGGACCAUAACUGACGCUGAUGCACGAAAGCUGGGGGAGCAAACAGG